GACGAACGCUGGCGGCGUGCUUAACACAUGCAAGUCGAACGGACAGGCCCUGCUUUUGUGGGGGGCUCGAGUGGCGAACGGAUGAGUCACACGUGAGUAACCUGCCCUUGACUUUGGGAUAACUUCAGGAAACUGGGGCUAAUACCGGAUAGGAGCUCCUGCUGCAUGGUGGGGGUUGGAAAUUUUCGGCGGUUGGGGAUGGACUCGCGGCGUAUCAGCUUGUUGGUGGGGUAGUGGCUUACCAAGGCUUUGACGGGUAGCCGGGCUGGGAGGGUGACCGGCCACAUUGGGACUGAGAUACGGCCCAGACUCAUACGGGAGGGAGCAGUGGGGAAUAUUGCACAAUGGGCGGAAGCCUGAUGCAGCAACGCCGCGUGCGGGAUGACGGCCUGCGGGCUGUAAACCGCUUUCGCCUGUGACGAAGCGUGAGUGACGGUAAUGGGUAAAGAAGCACCGGCUAACUACGUG
rnacentral:rRNA from 1 species